ACGUCAUUAGCUCAAUUGGUAGAGUGUCAGACUCCAAAUCUGAAGGAUCAGCGUUCGAAUCGCUGGUGGCGUCCCA
rnacentral:tRNA from 1 species